rnacentral:rRNA from 1 species
UGCGUAGGCGGCUUUUUAAGUCAGGGGUGAAAUCCCGGGGCUCAACCUCGGAAUUGCCUUUGAUACUGGGUGUCUUGAGUAUGAGAGAGGUGUGUGGAACUCCGAGUGUAGAGGUGAAAUUCGUAGAUAUUCGGAAGAACACCAGUGGCGAAGGCGACACACUGGCUCAUUACUGACGCUGAGGCUCGAAAGCGUGGGGAGCAAACA